rnacentral:misc_RNA from 1 species
GUCAAAGUUAGCUGGUGAGAGUGAAAGUAAUCUGAGGAAGGCAUUUGAGGAAGCUGAAAAGAAUGCCCCCUCAAUUAUAUUUAUUGAUGAGCUUGAUUCCAUUGCACCAAAGAGGGAGAAAACACAUGGAGAAGUGGAAAGGCGUAUCGUGUCCCAACUUCUUACCUUGAUGGACGGCCUCAAGACUCGAGCACAUGUUAUUGUUAUUGGAGCAACUAAUAGACCCAACAGCAUUGACCCUGCUUUGAGGAGAUUUGGAAGAUUUGAUCGGGAGAUUGAUAUUGGUGUACCAGAUGAAGUAGGACGAUUGGAAGUCCUUAGGAUCCAUACAAAGAACAUGAAACUUGCAGAGGAUGUUGAUCUUGAGAGAGUUGCAAGGGAUACCCAUGGUUAUGUUGGUGCCGAUCUUGCCGCUCUUUGUACUGAAGCAGCACUCCAGUGUAUUCGGGAGAAAAUGGAUGUCAUCGACUUGGAAGAUGAAACAAUAGAUGCUGAGGUUUUGAAUUCCAUGGCUGUAACCAAUGAACAUUUCCAAACUGCUUUAGGGUCUUCUAAUCCAUCGGCCUUGCGGGAAACUGUUGUGGAGGUUCCAAACGUGUCAUGGGAUGAUAUUGGAGGGUUGGAAAAUGUUAAAAGAGAGCUCCAGGAGACUGUCCAAUACCCAGUGGAGCAUCCUGAGAAGUUUGAAAAAUUUGGCAUGUCACCAUCUAAAGGUGUUCUCUUUUAUGGUCCCCCUGGCUGUGGUAAAACGCUACUUGCUAAGGCAAUUGCCAACGAAUGCCAGGCUAACUUUAUAAGUGUGAAAGGACCGGAGUUGCUUACGAUGUGGUUUGGAGAAAGUGAAGCGAAUGUUCGGGAAAUAUUUGACAAGGCACGGCAAUCUGCUCCAUGUGUACUGUUCUUUGAUGAACUCGAUUCCAUUGCUACGCAGAGAGGAAAUUCGGUGGGAGAUGCUGGUGGUGCUGCUGAUAGAGUACUCAAUCAAUUGUUGACGGAGAUGGAUGGAAUGACAGCAAAAAAAACAGUUUUCAUUAUUGGGGCAACAAAUAGGCCAGACAUUAUUGACCCUGCAUUGCUCAGACCAGGUCGUCUUGACCAAUUAAUUUACAUCCCCCUCCCGGAUGAAGCUUCUCGUCUUCAAAUCUUCAAAGCAUGCUUGCGUAAGUCCCCUGUCGCAAAGGACGUGGAUCUGUCAGCUCUAGCACAGUAUACACAUGGUUUUAGUGGUGCAGACAUAACCGAGAUUUGUCAGCGAGCAUGCAAAUAUGCCAUUAGGGAAAACAUUGAAAUGGAUAUUGAGAGAGAGAGGAAGAGGAGCUUGAACCCUGAAGCCAUGGAUGAAGAUGACACCGAUGAAGUGGCUGAAAUAAAGGCUGCACACUUUGAGGAGUCCAUGAAAUAUGCUCGAAGAAGUGUGAGUGAUGCUGACAUUAGGAAGUACCAGCUUUUUGCUCAAACAUUACAACAAUCACGCGGACUUGGAACUGAGUUCAAAUUUGCUGAGCAUGCAGCUAAUGCUACACCAACCGGGGCAACAGCCGACCCAUUUGCUUCUGUUAAUGCUGCUGGAGACGAGGAUGAUUUGUACAGUUAAUAAGUGUAAACACUGAGCACAAGGAUGCUGGGGAUGCUGGAAAACGGAAUGUUAGUGUAAGUAGAAUAACUAGGUAUGUUACCAUGUUGCAACUUUUGUGUUAAAAGAAAUUUCGCCUGUGGAUGUUAU